rnacentral:rRNA from 1 species
CGGUUAAAAAGCUCGUAGUUGAAUCUCAGUUCCAGACAGGCGGUCCGCUCCGGUGGUUACUGCCUGGCCUGAACAUCCUGACGGWUUUCCUUCUGUGCUCUUGACUGAGUGUCGUAGGUGCCCGUCACGUUUACUUUGAAAAAAUUGGAGUGCUCAAAGCAGGCGUUCCGCCUGAAUAAUGGUGCAUGGAAUAAUGAAAGAGGACUUCGAGUUCUAUUGUGUUGGUUUUCGGAACACGAGGUAAUGAUUAAAAGGGACAGACGGGGGCAUUCGUAUUGCGACGCUAGAGGUGAAAUUCUUGGACCGUCGCAAGACGAACUACAGCGAAAGCAUUUGCCAAGAAUGUUUUCAUUAAUCAAGAACGAAAGUUAGAGGUUCGAAGGCGAUCAGAUACCGCCCUAGUUCUAACCAUAAACGAUGCCAACCAGCGAUCCGCCUGAGUUACUCAAUUGACUCGGCGGGCAGCUUCCGGGAAACCAAAGUUUGUGGGUUCCGGGGGAAGUAUGGUUGCAAAGCUGAAACUUAAAGGAAUUGACGGAAGGGCACCACCAGGAGUGGAGCCUGCGGCUUAAUUUGACUCAACACGGGAAAACUUACCCGGCCCGGACACCGGAAGGAUUGACAGAUUAAGAGCUCUUUCUUGAUUCGGUGGGUGGUGGUGCAUGGCCGUUCUUAGUUGGUGGAGCGAUUUGUCUGGUUAAUUCCGAUAACGAACGAGACUCUAGCCUACUAAAUAGGCGACCGAUCACUUGUGUCGGUCUUCCUUCUUAGAGGGACAAGCGGCGUUUAGCCGCACGAGACAGAGCAAUAACAGGUCUGUGAUGCCCUUAGAUGUCCGGGGCCGCACGCGCGCUACACUGAAGGAAUCAGCGUGUGUUUACCCCUGUCCGGCAGGACUGGGUAACCCGAUGAACCUCCUUCGUGAUAGGGAUAGGAGCUUGUAAUUGUUCUCCUUGAACGAGGAAUUCCCAGUAAGCGCGAGUCAUAAGCUCGUGUUGAUUACGUCCCUGCCCUUUGUACACACCGCCCGUCGCUACUACCGAUUGAAUGAUUUAGUGAGGUCUUCGGACUGGUGCUCGGAGCGGCUCUCGGGUCGCACCGCCGUACCGGAAAGAUGACCAAACUUGAUCAUUUAGAGGAAGUAAAAGUCGUAACAAGGUUUCC